UCGCAUCCAGGUAAGUUCUAUUCAAUAUUUUCGAUAAUUGCAGGUCCAUUAAGCCACAACAACGGCUAGGAGACGUGCUCAUCACGAGGUUUCAAGUUUGCUUUAGUAUUUUACUUAUUUUCUUUCCAAAAAAAAUGGCUUUGUAUUUGUAGUUUUAUUUGUUUCCUUUGUUGCACUUUUACAUUUAUUUCGGCCUUAGGGCUAGCUGAAGGACUCUUAUAAAGUCCCCCUGCAGCAGUUGUACGAUUUUUCACCCUAUUAUCAAUAAAGAACCCGAAUUUUCUUCAAUUUUCUCCUUAAGUGUUCUUAAGAGAAAAGCUUGUCCUUUGUCUUGUGUGUGUGAUUCCACAAGGCUGAGUUUGUGUACUGUAUCAGAGACCAAUCACAUCUCUGUGGUGUACUUCAAUCCGCCAGCACUUCCCCUUCAUUCGAUCCCACACGAGAGAAGCGACCGCCAUCGUGUCAGAUCUACAUCAACGACCAUCUUUCCUUCACAAGAGAGAAGCGACCGCCAUCUUGUGAAGCCAUCAUAUCUAUCCUAAUACAAGCUCACCACCGAGACUUGUAUCAUCAUGCAACAAAUCUCUUGACAUAUUGAUACUGAAACAAUUGGAACUCAAAGCUAAAAAUUAGCCUGUUAGUGUGUCAAAUAUCAAGAGAAAUGAACAAAAUUUGAAAGAAAUGAGUGGAGAUACACUUAGCAAAUUUAUCAGUUUUACUCUUCCGGUUGAGUAAUAUCAGGAAAGGAGACGCGCUCGUCGAGUGAAGGAGACGCGUGACGUCUUUGUCGAGUGAACGGCGAGAAUACGACGCUCGAGUGAUGAGAACGUGAGUCGCGUGAGAGCUGCACCGGGUAUCUGUCGGAGAACUAUCCACUAGUCAAGUGGAUGUGGCGCGUGAGCUUCGCUGGUCGAGUAAAGAUCUUCACCGUCGAGUGUAUACUAAGUGAGCUCCUUGUAACCGCCGGUCGAGUGAACGAUACGCGCCGGUCGAGUGGAGUGCUUGUGCCCCUAUCGAGUGAGGUACUGCCGAGUAGAGUUUCGGACGGUCCAGGACG
rnacentral:lncRNA from 1 species